GGCAAGUCUGUCCUUGGCUACA
rnacentral:miRNA from 1 species